rnacentral:rRNA from 1 species
GUGUACCACAAACCGACACAGGUGGACGAGAUGAAUAUUCUAAGGCGCUCGGGUGAUGGUAUGUUCAGGAACUAGGCACAUUAGCUCCGUAACUUCGGGAGAAGGAGUGCCCACGCAAGUGGGUCGCAGUGAAGAGUCUCAGGCGACUGUUUAACAAAAACACAGGUCUCUGCUAAGUCGAAAACGACGUAUAGGGGCUGACGCCUGCCCGGUGCCGGAAGGUUAAAGGGAGAGGUUAGCGCAAGCGAAGCUUUGAACUGAAGCCCCGGUGAACGGCGGCCGUAACAAUAACGGUCCUAAGGUAGCGAAAUUCCUUGUCGGGUAAGUUCCGACCUGCACGAAUGGCGUAACGAUCUGAGAACUGUCUUAACAUGCCGCCCGGCGAACUUGUGGUCCCUGUGAAGACGCCGGGUGCCCGCCACUAGACGAAAAGACCCCGUGCACCUUUACUAUACUUUUUCAUUGAUUUAUGGGGCCAUCUGCGCAGCAUAGGUGGGAGGCUUUGAUUCCAGGUUCUCGGACUUGGAGGAGCCAACGGUGAGAUACCACCCUGAUGGUUCUGUGAAUCUAACCUGUUCCCGUGAUCCGGGAAAGGGACAAUGGAAGACGGGUAGUUUGACUGGGGCGGUCGCCUCCUAAAUUGUAACGGAGGCGCGCGAAGCUAGGUUCAGGCUGUUUGGAAAUCAGCCGACGAGUGCAAAAGCAUAAACCUGGUUAACUGUAAGACCAACAAGUCGAGCAGAUACGAAAGUAGGCUUUAGUGAUCCGGUGAUUCUGUAUGGAAGGGUCAUCGCUCAACGGAUAAAAGGUACGCCGGGGAUAACAGGCUGAUCGGAGUCAAGAGUUCACAUCGACGCUCCGGUUUGGCACCUCGAUGUCGGCUCAUCGCAUCCUGGGGGUGUAGAAGCUCCCAAGGGUUAGGCUGUUCGCCUAUUAAAGCGGUACGUGAGCUGGGUUCAGAACGUCGCGAGACAGUUCGGUCUCUAUCUGUGGUGGGCGGAGGAAAUUUGAAGGGGCCUGCCCUUAGUACGAGAGGACCGGGGUGGACGAAUCUCUUGUGUUCCAGUUGUCUCACCAGAGGCAUAGCUGGGUAGCGAAAUUCGGUCAGGAUAAGCGCUGAAUGCAUAUAAGCGCGAAACCUUCCCUAAGAUGAGAUUUCCCAACGAAAGUAAGAAGAGCACUGGAAGACUACCAGUUUGAUAGGGCAGAUGUGUAAGCGUAGCAAUACGUUGAGCUUACUGCUACUAAUCGCUCGUUCGGCUUGACCA